rnacentral:rRNA from 1 species
UACCAGCACCCCGAGUGGUCGGGACGUUUAUUGGGCCUAAAGCAUCCGUAGCCGGUUCUACAAGUCUUCCGUUAAAUCCACCUGCUUAACAGAUGGGCUGCGGAAGAUACUAUGGAGCUAGGAGGCGGGAGAGGCAAGCGGUACUCGAUGGGUAGGGGUAAAAUCCGUUGAUCCAUUGAGGACCACCAGUGGCGAAGGCGGCUUGCCGGAACGCGCUCGACGGUGAGGGAUGAAAGCUGGGGGAGCAAACCGG